rnacentral:rRNA from 1 species
GCAGUCGAGCGAUGGAUUAAGAGCUUGCUCUUAUGAAGUUAGCGGCGGACGGGUGAGUAACACGUGGGUAACCUGCCCAUAAGACUGGGAUAACUCCGGGAAACCGGGGCUAAUACCGGAUAAYAUUUUGAACYGCAUGGUUCGAAAUUGAAAGGCGGCUUCGGCUGUCACUUAUGGAUGGACCCGCGUCGCAUUAGCUAGUUGGUGAGGUAACGGCUCACCAAGGCAACGAUGCGUAGCCGACCUGAGAGGGUGAUCGGCCACACUGGGACUGAGACACGGCCCAGACUCCUACGGGAGGCAGCAGUAGGGAAUCUUCCGCAAUGGACGAAAGUCUGACGGAGCAACGCCGCGUGAGUGAUGAAGGCUUUCGGGUCGUAAAACUCUGUUGUUAGGGAAGAACAAGUGCUAGUUGAAUWWKYUGGCACCUUGACGGUACCUAACCAGAAAGCCACGGCUAACUACGUGCCAGCAGCCGCGGUAAUACGUAGGUGGCAAGCGUUAUCCGGAAUUAUUGGGCGUAAAGCGCGCGCAGGUGGUUUCUUAAGUCUGAUGUG